GCAUCUGAAUCUUUCCCACUGCUUGCAAUAUAGUGCUUGACUGGGGACCCAUGAUGCAAAAGGAAGGCAGAGGAAAUCCAGACAAGCUCCCUUUCACCACAGUGGGACUUGUCUCUACGCCUUUGCAACAUUU
rfam:Cariama cristata contig76230, whole genome shotgun sequence.